UCGGUUAUAAGAACCCUCAAAGAUGAUGAGGUUAAUAGGUUCGAGGUGGAAGCAUGGUGACAUGUGGAGCUGACGAAUACUAAUCGAUCGAAGACUUAAUCAAA
rnacentral:rRNA from 1 species